rnacentral:rRNA from 1 species
CAGUCGAGGGGUAGGGGGUGCUUGCACCCCUGAGACCGGCGCACGGGUGCGGAACGCGUAUGGAACCUGCCCCUGUCAGGGGAAUAGCCCAGGGAAACUUGGAUUAAUGCCCCAUGGUAUCAUUACAUCGCAUGAUGUUGUGAUUAAAGAUUUAUCGGACAGGGAUGGCCAUGCGUACCAUUAGCUUGAUGGUGGGGUAACGGCCCACCAUGGCAACGAUGGUUAGGGGCCCUGAGAGGGGGAUCCCCCACACUGGUACUGAGACACGGACCAGACUCCUACGGGAGGCAGCAGUGAGGAAUAUUGGACAAUGGUCGGAAGACUGAUCCAGCCAUGCCGCGUGCAGGAUGACGGCCCUAUGGGUUGUAAACUGCUUUUAUACGGGAAGAAACCCACCUACGUGUAGGUGGCUGACGGUACCGUAAGAAUAAGGACCGGCUAACUCCGUGCCAGCAGCCGCGGUAAUACGGAGGGUCCGAGCGUUAUCCGGAAUCAUUGGGUUUAAAGGGUCCGUAGGCGGGCCUGUAAGUCAGGGGUGAAAGUUUGUGGCUCAACCAUAAAAUUGCCUUUGAUACUGCAGGUCUUGAGUCAUGGUGGGGUUGCCGGAACAUGUGGUGUAGCGGUGAAAUGCAUAGAUAUCACAUAGAACACCGAUCGCGAAGGCAGGUGAC